UACGUAGGGGGCAAGCGUUAUCCGGAUUCACUGGGUGUAAAGGGAGCGUAGACGGCCAGACAAGUCUGAAGUGAAAAUCCAGCGCUUAACGUUGGAAGUGCUUUGGAAACUGCCGGGCUAGAGUGCAGGAGGGGCAGGCGGAAUUCCUAGUGUAGCGGUGAAAUGCGUAGAUAUUAGGAGGAACACCAGUGGCGAAGGCGGCCUGCUGGACUGCAACUGACGUUGAGGCUCGAAGGCGUGGGGAGCAAACAGG
rnacentral:rRNA from 1 species